GUGCACAGAAAUCUUUUUUGGGUAUUUUUGAGAAUGGCAAAGGGCUUUUAUUCAAAGCAACGAGAAAGCUCAAGUUUUAUGUUUUUUUUUUACGUUUGAAAAAUGAUUUGCAUGAACAGUACAUUAUUUGAAAGACUUGUAAUUAAGAUUAUUCACAGUGCCAUUGAAUAUUGGUACUCGAACGUGGUCACACUUGUCAUUUUCACACCCACAGAAUGGAAUGGUCAGUUUUCUGUUUAACAUAACAGGAGUCUUGGAAGGUUGUAGUCUGAGAUAUCUGACUGUUUUAUAUACUUAGUGAUCAGUAAACUAGCGUUUAAGAAAUGAGAUCUCUUUCUAGUUCAGUAUAAUAGUCAUUGUUUUUGCAAAAGUGUCUAAACCUGCCAGUAUUUCCCCUGGUUCCAGGCACCCAGUGUAGGCUCACAGAGUACUCAUGACUCUGGCUUGGGCUCGCAGUACCCGGCCUCUCCUGAAAGGGGGCGCCGUCCCGCCAGGCCGAGUAGAAGAAGGAGGGGCCAGACUGCGGCCCCCGCUGCUGGAGGAUAUUGGAUUUAUUCUCCCCUCAAGAGUGGGACCUGGAAGACCCGUGGGUGCAAAGAUCACCCUGGUGACAGUGGCGAGGAGAGUGAAGGGGGCAGCAGUGUCUCUGGGGACCAGUUCACCCCUCCUCCAGGCUCGGCCAUUUACACAGUCCUUCC
rnacentral:lncRNA from 1 species